rnacentral:tRNA from 1 species
GAGGGUAUAGCUCAGUGGUAGAGCAUGUGCUUAGCAUGCAUGUAGCAUGCAUGAGGUCCUGGUUCAAGCCCCAGUACCUCCA